UACGGAGGGGGCUAGCGUUGUUCGGAAUUACUGGGCGUAAAGCGUGCGCAGGCGGCGCGUUAAGACAGGUGUGAAAGCCCCCGAGCUUAACUUGGGAAUUGCGCUUGUGACUGGCGUGCUGGAGUGUGGCAGAGGGAGGUGGAAUUCCACGUGUAGCAGUGAAAUGCGUAGAGAUGUGGAGGAACACCGAUGGCGAAGGCAGCCUCCUGGGCCAGCACUGACGCUCAUGCACGAAAGCGUGGGGAGCAAACAGG
rnacentral:rRNA from 1 species